rnacentral:rRNA from 1 species
AGGGGAGUGAAAAAGAACCUGAAACCGUGUACGUACAAGCAGUGGGAGCCUCUUUAUGGGGUGACUGCGUACCUUUUGUAUAAUGGGUCAGCGACUUAUAUUCUGUAGCAAGGUUAACCGAAUAGGGGAGCCGAAGGGAAACCGAGUCUUAACUGGGCGUUAAGUUGCAGGGUAUAGACCCGAAACCCGGUGAUCUAGCCAUGGGCAGGUUGAAGGUUGGGUAACACUAACUGGAGGACCGAACCGACUAAUGUUGAAAAAUUAGCGGAUGACUUGUGGCUGGGGGUGAAAGGCCAAUCAAACCGGGAGAUAGCUGGUUCUCCCCGAAAGCUAUUUAGGUAGCGCCUCGUGAAUUCAUCUCCGGGGGUAGAGCACUGUUUCGGCAAGGGGGUCAUCCCGACUUACCAACCCGAUGCAAACUGCGAAUACCGGAGAAUGUUAUCACGGGAGACACACGGCGGGUGCUAACGUCCGUCGUGAAGAGGGAAACAACCCAGACCGCCAGCUAAGGUCCCAAAGUCAUGGUUAAGUGGGAAACGAUGUGGGAAGGCCCAGACAGCCAGGAUGUUGGCUUAGAAGCAGCCAUCAUUUAAAGAAAGCGUAAUAGCUCACUGGUCGAGUCGGCCUGCGCGGAAGAUGUAACGGGGCUAAACCAUGCACCGAAGCUGCGGCAGCGACACUAUGUGUUGUUGGGUAGGGGAGCG